GAUGAACGCUAGCUACAGGCUUAACACAUGCAAGUCGAGGGGCAGCAUGGGAGUUGCUUGCAAUUCCUGAUGGCGACCGGCGCACGGGUGAGUAACGCGUAUCCAACCUUCCCUUAACUUGGGAAUAGCCCGGUGAAAACCGGAUUAAUGCCCGAUGUGGUCCAGCGAGGGCAUCUGACCCGGACCAAAGAUUUUGUCGGUUAAGGAUGGGGAUGCGUCUGAUUAGCUUGUUGGCGGGGUAACGGCCCACCAAGGCUACGAUCAGUAGGGGUUCUGAGAGGAAGGUCCCCCACAUUGGAACUGAGACACGGUCCAAACUCC
rnacentral:rRNA from 1 species